rnacentral:ribozyme from 1 species
ACUUUUUUUUUUUUUUUUUUUUUUUUUUUUCCUUUUCUGCUCUCG